rnacentral:rRNA from 1 species
GACGAACGCUGGCGGCGUGCCUAAUACAUGCAAGUCGAACGCAUUUUCUUUCACCGUAGCUUGCUACACCGAAAGAAAAUGAGUGGCGAACGGGUGAGUAACACGUUGGUAACCUGCCCAUCAGCGGGGGAUAACACUUGGAAACAGGUGCUAAUACCGCAUAAUUCCAUUUACCGCAUGGUAAAUGGAUGAAAGGCGCUUUUGCGUCACUGAUGGAUGGACCCGCGGUGCAUUAGCUAGUUGGUGGGGUAACGGCCUACCAAGGCUGCGAUGCAUAGCCGACCUGAGAGGGUGAUCGGCCACACUGGGACUGAGACACGGCCCAGACUCCUACGGGAGGCAGCAGUAGGGAAUCUUCGGCAAUGGACGCAAGUCUGACCGAGCAACGCCGCGUGAGUGAAGAAGGGUUUCGGAUCGUAAAACUCUGUUGUUAGAGAAGAACAAGGAUGAGAGUGGAAAGUUCAUCCCUUGACGGUAUCUAACCAGAAAGCCACGGCUAACUACGUG